AGGAUGAACGCUGGCGGCGUGCCUAAUACAUGCAAGUCGAACGAGGAACCCAGUGCUUGCACAGGGAAUUCCUAGUGGCGAACGGGUGAGUAUCGCGUUGGUGACCUGCCCCAAAGAGAGGGACAACAGUUCGAAAGAGCUGCUAAUACCUCAUGAUAUCGUAGGAGUUAAAGGUCUUACGAUCAAAGGAGUAAUCCCGCUUUGGGAGGGGCCUGCGUCCCAUCAGCUAGUUGGUAAGGUAAUGGCUUACCAAGGCUAAGACGGGGUAGGGGACCCUGAGAGGGUGACCCCCCACACUGGUACUGAAACACGGACCAGACACCUACGGGGUGGCAGCAGUAGGGAAUAUUGCGCAAUGGGCGAAAAGCCUGACGCAGCAACGCCGCGUGCACGAUGAAGGUCUUCGGAUCGUAAAGUGCUUUUAUGAGGGAAGAGAAAGGACUGUACCUCAUGAAUAAGGAUCGGCUAACUACGUGCCAGCAGCCGCGGUAACACGUAGGAUCCAAGCGUUAUCCGGAUUUACUGGGCGUAAAGCGCGUGCAGGUGGUUUGGUAAGUUGGAUGUUAAAUCUCCCGGCUCAACCGGGAGCUGUCGUUCAAAACUACCAAACUAGAGGACGGUAGAGGAAGGUGGAAUUCAGGGUGUAGUGGUGAAAUGCGUAGAUAUCCUGAGGAACACCAGUGGCGAAGGCGGCCUUCUGGCCCGCUCCUGACACUAAGACGCGAAAGCUAGGGUAGCGAACGGGAUUAGACACCCCGGUAGUCCUAGCUGUAAACGAUGUGAACUUGGUGUUGGUGGGGUAAAACCCAUCAGUGCCGCAGCUAACGCGAUAAGUUCACCGCCUGGGGACUGCGGUCGCAAGAUUAAAACUCAAAGGAAUUGACGGGGGCCCGCACAAGCAGCGGAGCGUGUGGUUUAAUUCGAUGCUACGCGAAAAACCUUACCUGGGUUUGACAUAUAGGUGGUAGUGAAACGAAAGUGGAACGACUCUUCGGAGAGCCUAUACAGGUGUUGCAUGGCUGUCGUCAGCUCGUGCCGUGAGGUGUCCGGUUAAGUCCGGUAACGAGCGCAACCCUUGCUGUAUGUUAUAUGUAUCAUACGGGACUGCCGGUAUAAAGCCGGAGGAAGGUGGGGACGACGUCAAGUCAGCAUGACCUUUAUAUCCAGGGCUACACACACGCUACAAUGGUCAGUACAACAGGUUGCAAUACCGCGAGGUGGAGCCAAUCCCUAAAACUGAUCUCAGUUCGGAUUGUAGGCUGCAACUCGCCUGCAUGAAGUCGGAGUUGCUAGUAACCGCGCGUCAGCAUUAGUGCGGUGAAUACGUUCCCGGGCCUUGUACACACCGCCCGUCACGUCAUGGAAGCUGGCAAUACCUGAAGUCGGUAUCCCAACCGCAAGGAGGGAGCCGCCCAAGGUAGGGCUGGUAACUAGGACG
rnacentral:rRNA from 1 species